UUCCUUUGAUCACGUGGAUCCUGGGAUUUGAACUCAGGCUCUCAGGGUUGGCAGUGACAGAUGUGGGAUGGAAGGACUAAAAGGGGAAGAAGAGGACGGCCCUUUUGCCAUUUGUUUGUUUUCAGGGCUGGGGACUGAGUGUAGGGCCUCAUAUAGGCUGGGCACUGCUGCUGCCUCCAACAGAGGUAGGGAUACUCCUGCCCUCUCCGUUUCUCUUUUCAGACAGGCCUUCAGAGUUUCCAUGAACUCACUGCAGCCCAGGCAGGCCUUGAGCUCGUCACCCUCCUGUCUCCACUCCCCAGUAGCUGGGCUUACAGGUCUGUGUCACCAGGUCCAGGCAGAAUUCUGGACCUUUAAAAUUUUAUGUUUGUGCUUUUCCUAUCCCAUUGCUUUCUUUCCUUCGAGCUUUUCAUUCAGAAACAUAAUAUGCACAUGAAUAAAUUUAUAAUAAAAAUUAUAA
rnacentral:lncRNA from 1 species